GCACCAUUAGGAUGUCCUGAUCCAACAUCGAGGUCGUAAACCCCCUCGUCGAUAGGGACUCUGGGAGAGGAUUGCGCUGUUAUCCCUAGGGUAACUCGGUCCGUUGAUCGGCGUNUCGCGGACUCAUUUUUGGUCAGAAAUUCUGGUACUUAGAGUUGUGGCUCUUGGUUGUGGGGGCAGUGCAGCUCCACAUGGGGGCUUUGUUUUCCCCCGCGGUCGCCCCAACCAAAGACAUAGGGGCUAGGGGUCACUGUGUUUUUACCUGUUAAUUUAAGGUUACUUGACGUGAUCUGCCUGGUGUCUAAAGCUCCAUAGGGUCUUCUCGUCUUAUGUGUUUAUGUCC
rnacentral:rRNA from 1 species